rnacentral:rRNA from 1 species
AUUGAACGCUGGCGGAAUGCUUUACACAUGCAAGUCGAACGGCAGCACGGGUGCUUGCACCUGGUGGCGAGUGGCGAACGGGGGAGUAAUACAUCGGAACGUACCCUGACGUGGGGGCUAACGUAGCGAAAGUUACGCUAAUACCGCAUACGUCCUGAGGGGGAAAGCAGGGGAUCGCAAGACCUUGCGCGUUAGGAGCGGCCGCUGGCCGUCUGGCGAGUUGGUGGGGUAAAGGCCCACCAAGGCGACGAUCUGGAGCGGGUCUGAGAGGACCACCUGCCACACUGGAAAUGAGACACGGUCCAGACUCCUACGGGAGGCAGCAGUGGGGAAUUUUGGACAAUGGGCGAAAGCCUGAUCCAGCCAUUCCGCGUGAGUGAAGAAGGCCUUCGGGUUGUAAAGCUCUUUCGGCAGGGAAGAAACGGUUUUGGAUAAUACCCAGAGCUAAUGACGGUACCUGAAGAAGAAGCACCGGCUAACUACGUGCCAGCAGCCGCCGCGG